AUGCACAGGGAGUUAGGAAGGGUUUAUGGUUUUCCCUUUGAGCCUACAACAGCCCCACAGCCACCUCAAGCUGGAAACUCUCUUAUUUCACUGUCUGGAAAACUUGGCAGUUUUAUCCUCCACAUUCCAGUGGUGAUGCCUGCUGCUGUUCUUGGAUAUUAUACCACAUUACUGCAAGCCUCAGUAUUCCUAGUCAUUAUUUUGAGGACUUCUUAAGUCCUAUUUGACCAUCAUUAUGUCUGUUUACCUGUGGUACUCUGGUUCCUACAAGGGUUACUUCCCUCACCAUUUUCUAAUUUCAGCCCUACGGUAGUUUUGUGCUUUGAGGUUACUUGGAUGAUCAGCGAUGUCAGUGACAAAAAACAGAAAUCCAAAACUACAGAACGUGUAUACACAAUGGUAGUAGGGCUCAUUUUUUUUCAACCUUCAUUGUGAUCCCAUGAUCACUAUAUCCCAGGGUACUCAUCCAUAAAUUAAUUCCUCCUGUAGAAGAUGUGGGUCCUGCUUACUGUAAGCUAGUGCAACACUGCCUGCAAAAUUUCAUCCCACCUUGCACCUUUCACAAAGCUCACAAAUUUACAACUGCAUAUAACCCACUUUUUGAAUACAACAGUCACACAAUGGGACUUUCUGCACAUCUAAAUUGCCUGAAAAUCUGGCCCACGCUUAUUCUUAUUAAAACUAAGAAUAAGCCACAAACUCCAUUGUGUGACUUUUGUAGCCAAAAUGUUCUCCUCAUUGGUAGAUUAACUUGAGUAAGGCCCUAUUGCUGUAUGCUGUACUCACAUUAAUGGUGGGAUUCCCUCCGAGAUCUUUUCCACUUAGCUUAUCCAUAACACCUUGUCCAGUUCUGGGAAAACACUUCAUCCAGUUCUCUGGGAUCCAAAAUAAUUCAGUGUGACUCCAGAUUUUGUCACCCAGGUGCUUUAUUUGACAUACAGCAAAAUUACACUGAGCUGAUCAGGCUUAAGUGUAGGGGCGUGGGCAUAUGUUGUACCACACAUCCAAAGUUACACAGAAAAACUCUUCCCUUAUAUACAUUUACACAUUGCAUUACAUUUACUAUACGUUGCAUCACACAUUUUAGAACUGGCAGCAUGUUAUGUCCGGGCAUAUGCUUGACCUAUUCUUGACCGACUUUUUACCUCAUCUCAUAUUCCUAAUUUAUCUUGUCCAAUGUUAGUAAAUGGUUCUCUGGGUGUUCUCCCUCUUAAUGUAGCUGGCUCAGACAUUCUGUCUUUUUAGCCUACUGACCUCUUCACUUACCUUCUUUCAUAGAAUCAUAGAAUCAUAGAAUAUCACGGUUGGAAGGGACCUCAGGAGGUCAUCUAGUCCAACCCCCUGCUCAAAGCAGGACCAAUCCCCAACUAAAUCAUCUCAGCUAGGGCUUUGUCAAGCCGGGCCUUAAAAAGCUCUAAGGAAGGAGAUUCCAGCACCUCCCUAGGUAACCCAUUCCAGUGCUUCACCACCCUCCUAGUGAAAAAGCUUUUCCUAAUAUCCAACCUAAACCUCCCCCACUGCAACUUGAGACCAUUACUCCUUGUUCUGUCAUCUGCUACCACUGAGAACAGCCUAGAUCCAUCCUCUUUGGAAUCCCUUUCAGGUAGUUGAAAGCAGCUAUCAAAUCCCCCCUCAUUCUUCUCUUCUGCAGCCUAAAUAAACCCAUUUCCCUCAGCCUCUCCUCA
ensembl:lncRNA